rnacentral:tRNA from 1 species
UCUAAUGUGGCAGAAUAGUGUAAUGAAUUUAAGCUUCAUGUAUAAAGUCAUAACUUUUAUUAGAA